ACAAAGUCAGCCAGCCCAACGAGAACAAGACACGCCCCCCUCUGGCAUGCCUCAAUCGCAAGGAGAGCUGCCGCAGUGCAUGAUGGGAAACAGGAAGGUGGACGACAUGCGCUUCCUGAUCUCAUGCACCAACUGGUAUUGACGACGAUACAGUGUGCAGGAGUCAGUCAUGGAAAGCGACACCAACGCGAACAGGUGCUGCAAGUGGCUCACUGUGGCGGUCAUGAUGAUGUCACAGGCAAACGAUUAUCCAUGUGCGUGUAGUCCACUUGUCCCAAUGUUACAGCACGCUUGAACACAUUUGGAGAACCAAGAUACUGUAUUCCCUACAAAUGGACUUAUGAUUUGAUGUUCAAGCUCGAUUCGUAGUCAUUGUGUUGUGCCUUGUAAUUUCAUUUUAUUUUUGUUGGAGAUACAAUUUUUCAAAUAGAUGGAACCAAGGAAAAGAGGCUGAAUGAAUGUAAGUGCUGGCGUUAAUGCAAGGUGGGCCAGAUUCAAGGUGGGAAAGUCCCCCACCCGAGCCAACUCCUAUCUGUUGUUUGCCCAUACAGCCCUCCCUUGUGCUCUCCUGCAUGUUCCACAUAUGUGGUACAUGCUUGUUUGUGUGUGGUGCAUGCUUGUGUUUCGUCAGCAUCCUUGUGAAAGUUGACUCAGUGUUGACCAAAGAGGAGGAGCAGCCACUGACAUCAUCAUCUUCACACUCUUUAUUUUCAUAAGCAAAUCAAGAGCAAACAGGGACAGAGCACAUUCUAAUGGUGGACUUGGAAUGGUGUACAGUAUACGCACAACCUGGGUAGGGCACUAGACACGUUUGAAAUGUAUGUAUAAAAGGAGGCAAGAGAAAGGCUUUUAACAUGAACUCUUAUUCAGAACCCUAAACCUGCCUUGAAACCCAAAUCCAGUUGAACUACCUAAUAGGGCUGUCACGAUUUUAGAUUUUUAGACUCGUUUAUGAUGUUGAUUAUGCCACUGAAUAAAUGCAGAACAUUUUAUUUUGCA